CUCCCGUCUCUCCUCAGCCCAUCAAAGGUAGAGAUUAAACAAAGAGCCAAGAAAAAACUAGAAGAGGCAAGUUUGGGCAAGUCCCAUGCACUCCGUGUCCCAGGGUAGACCUGGUGGCCUUGACCGAGUGCGCUGCAAAGGCAGGGGCAAGCCGGGGCACACUGCACCGCGGGGCCCCGUGGGACUCCUACUGACCCUUCAAAGCCUCGUGCCCCUGCCCGGGAGCCUUCGCCAGCCUGGCCUCCCCCCCGACGACGAGGUGCUCACACACUCUUCUUACGACGACAAACCCGAGGCGCGCCCGGCAGCCUGCGGCCUGAGCCUGGAGCGGCGUCCGUAUCCUCCGCUGAUGACCUCAUAAUCGGUCCCGGGACCGGGCAAAGGAGUGGGUGGCCUGGUGUGGCAGCCGGCCAGCCAUGACCUCAGCGGCCUGGACCCUGACUUCCUCUCCAGGAGCAGCAUUCCUGGGUCGGAGGCCAGAGGCGAGCUGCACGGCAGGGCCAGCCCCGCCCCGUCAACCCUGGGCAACGUGAGUCCUCUGGCCCUCCUGAUGCCCGCAGAUCAAUUUGAAAUGUCAUGGGAGGCCACAGAGGACAGGGUGACCUGGGUCGUUGUGAUGAUGACCCCGGGGGUCAGAGUGGUCCUGGGCCCUCUCUCUCUGCCGGGAGCGGAGUAGAUGAAGCUUCGGUGUCGCCGCAAGCCCGUUAUUAAAUUCUCAGCAGCGUUCAGGCACUCAGAACUCACAAGUUUGGGCAAACUUCAUGUCUGCACCCUCUUCCUGUGUAACCUUACGGUCCUGAGCCGUGCCGCUCUGCUGCGUGUAUUCACUGAGAUUGCUUCAUUGUUCUGAAGCGUGGGGGACAGAAAUGCACUUUUAUGCCAUUCAGACAUCUCCCCUGUCGGGUUCUAGAACGUUCUAUCCCGAAGAAAGCACAGACACUCACAUCAUCUGCCCCCACCUGCCUGCCAGGCUCCUCCAAAGCUGUGCGCUGGUCCUUGGGGCUCUCCUGCCUGCUCUGGGCAGGCCCUCAGAGCCACAGCUCAGUGGUUCCUGUUGCGUUGCGUUGGGAGCGUCAAGGGGGAAACUGCUGUGUCAUGGGGUGACGAGGGACCCUCUCCUGCCGCUACUGUGAAAGCACUCAGGCAUGGAGAAGUGAACGGCACCAGGAAAACAGCCCCUGGGAAAUGAGGCAGGAGGGCCUGGGCUCAGCCAGCGUCACAGAGCUACUUCAAGGCUACUUUUUAGCUUCUGGCGUUCGGGGUGAAUCUCUGUGGAAACAUUAACUCAUUGGGCAAAAGGAGCAGAGACGUGGUGACCAAACCGGACUCUGCAGCCUGGAAGCCUGUCUGUGAGCGCGGACACCAGUGGGUCUGUGCACAUGGGCGCUAGUGGACAUCGCAGCCUUGAAAACACACAAAGGCCAGAGGGCUCUUGGGGAUACGCAUGCGCACCUGGGCUCAGCCCCAGCCUGUAUGGUGGAAGGAGAGAAGCGACCAGCGUCCUCUGACCUUAACAUGAACGUCACACCAUGUUUACCCCCAAAUAAAUAUAUAGAUAAACUUUGUAAGUUGUAGGCCAGCUCAGUUGGCAGAGUGCUUGUACCUCAGCUGGCAGAGAGCUUAUAGCUCAGCUAAUGAAGAGCUUAUAGCUCAGCUGAUGAAGAGCUUGCAGCUCAGCUGAUGAAGGGCUUGUAGCUCAGCUGAUGAAGGGCUUGUAGCUCAGCUGAUGAAGGGCUUGUAGCUCAGCUGAUGAAGGGCUUGCAUAAACUGGGUUAGUGGUACGUUCCUGUCACCCAUCCCUGAAGAGCAGAGGUAGGAUCACGGGUUCGUCCUCAGCAGACAGGCUAAAGCCUGGAGCAGCAGUGCAACUGUUGAGAGCAUGCACUGCUCCUGCAGAGGACGCAAGUUCGAUUCCCAACCCCAAGUUCAGCAGCUCACACCCCUGGUAACUCUGAUGAUUUGGGCAUCUGGGGACACCUGCACUCAUGUCUCAUCUGCAGAAAUCUACACAGACACACAACCAAAUUCACUUAAUAAAAAUAAAUAAGUAACAGCAAGCCCAUCCACGCUCAGCAACGGCCCUUCUGUGGACAGUGCACUGGGGAAUGGAGGAAGAAAAUAAACGGUUCUCCUUGAAAGAAUCAGAUUAACUUUGGAA